CCUGCCGGCGACCGGCGCACGGGUGAGUAACACGUAUGCGACCUGCCCCCCGCAGGGGGAUAACCGGGAGAAAUCCCGACUAAUACCGCGUAACGCCGCGGACCUGCAUGGGUCUGCGGCCAAAGGAAGCGAUUCCGGCGGGGGAUGGGCAUGCGGCGCAUUAGCUAGUCGGCGGGGUAACGGCCCACCGAGGCGACGAUGCGUAGGGGUUCUGAGAGGAAGGCCCCCCCACACUGGAACUGAGACACGGUCCAGACUCCUACGGAAGGCAGCAG
rnacentral:rRNA from 1 species